GACGAACGCUGGCGGCGUGCUUAACACAUGCAAGUCGAACGGAAAGGCCUGCUUUCCCUUGUGGAUUGCGGGUACUCGGGUGGCGAACGGGUGAGUAACACGUGAGUGAUCUGCCCCCAACUUGGGUAUAAGCCUGGGAUACUGGGUCUAAUUUCCGAUAGGACUGCAGGGUGGUGCCGGUGGUGGAAAACGAUUUUCUAGUGGUUGGGGAUGAGCUUGGGGCGUAUCAGCGUGUUGGGGGGGUAAUGGCCUACCAAGGCGACGACGGGUAGCCGGCCUGAGAGGAUGAUCAGGCAGACGGGAACUGAGACACGGUCCAGACUCCUAAGGGAGGCAGCAGUGGGGAAUAGUGGACAAGGGGCGAAAGCCUGAGCCAGCCAUGCCGCGUGUGUGAAGAAGGUCUUCGGAGUGGAAAGCACGGUAAGUUGGGAGGAAGGGCAGAAAGGUAAUACCUUGCUGUGUUGACGUGACCAACAGAAUAAGCACCGGCUAACUUCGUG
rnacentral:rRNA from 1 species